rnacentral:rRNA from 1 species
AACGAACGCUGGCGGCAUGCCUAACACAUGCAAGUCGAACGAGACCUUCGGGUCUAGUGGCGCACGGGUGCGUAACGCGUGGGAACCUGCCCUUAGGUUCGGAAUGACUCCCCGAAAGGGGUGCUAAUACCGGAUAAUGUCUUCGGACCAAAGAUUUAUCGCCUUUGGAUGGGCCCGCGUUGGAUUAGCUAGUUGGUAGGGUAAAAGCCUACCAAGGCGACGAUCCAUAGCUGGUCUGAGAGGAUGAUCAGCCACACUGGGACUGAGACACGGCCCAGACUCCUACGGGAGGCAGCAGUGGGGAAUAUUGGACAAUGGGCGAAAGCCUGAUCCAGCAAUGCCGCGUGAGUGAUGAAGGCCUUAGGGUUGUAAAGCUCUUUUACCCGGGAUGAUAAUGACAGUACCGGGAGAAUAAGCGCCGGCUAACUCCGUG